rfam:Gossypium arboreum cultivar AKA8401 contig_5249_1, whole genome shotgun sequence.
UAUUAAAAACCUCAUCCAUUUCAACUAUUAAAAAUUAGUGUGGCUGAUAGAAUAACUAAAUAGUUACACAUGGCAUGCCAUGUGUAUCGUAUUUUGACAUAUAGGGACCAAUUUUUAACAAUAAAAAUAGAUAAAAUUAUUAACG